GGCAGGGGUCCCGCCGACGGGGUUGCAGGGCCGCGCAUCCGGGGGCUGCCGCCCCCGGGCGCAGGUCCGGCUGGGGAGCGGAACGGCAUGGGAGGGCCGGCCGCAGCGGGUGACAGCCCCGUACGCGAACCCAGACCGGACGGCGCGACGCGGUCCCUGAGUAGGGCCGGGCACGUGAAACCCGGUCCGAACCUGGGUGGACCACCAUCCAAGCCUGAGUACUACCCUGUGACCGAUAGCGCACCAGUACCGUGAGGGAAAGGUGAAAAGCACCCCGGGAGGGGAGUGAAACAGUACCUGAAACCGUGCGCCCACGAGCAGUCGGAGCAACUUUACGUUGUGACGGCGUGCCUUUUGUAGAAUGAGCCAGCGAGUCGCUGGCGCGGGGCGAGGUUAACCGAAAGGGAGCCGGAGCGAAAGCGAGCCUUAACAGGGCGACUUGAGUCCCGCGCCGCGGACGCGAAGCCGGGUGAGCUAUCCGUGGGCAGGCUGAAGCGGGGGUAAGACCCCGUGGAGGGCCGAACGCACGUCGGUUGAAAACGGCGGCGAUGACCUGCGGAUAGGGGUGAAAGGCCAAUCAAACCCGGAGAUAUCUCGUUCUCCCCGAAAUAGCUUUAGGGCUAGCGUCGCGCGUUCACCGCCGGAGGUAGAGCACCGGAUGGACGAGGGGGCUUCGCCGCCUACCGAAUCCAACCGAACUCCGAAUGCCGGCGGCCCAGAGCGCGGCAGUCAGAGCAUGUGGGCUAAGCUGUGUGCUCGAGAGGGAAACAGCCCGGACCGCCCGCUAAGGUCCCCAAGUUCCAGCCGAGUGGCAAAGGAUGUGCGUCCGCCCAGACAACCAGGAUGUUGGCUUAGAAGCAGCCAUCCAUUCAAAGAGUGCGUAACAGCUCACUGGUCGAGUGGACAUGCGCCGACAAUACACGGGGCUAAGCUGGACACCGAAGCGGCGGGAUUUUGAUUUUCAGAAUCGGUAGGGGAGCUUCCCAUGGGCGGAGAAGCCGGAGGGCGACCGACGGUGGAGCGCAUGGGAGUGAGAAUGCUGGCAUGAGUAGCGAGAGACGAGAGAGUAACUCGUCCGCCGUGAACCCGAGGUUUCCUGGGCAAGGCUAAUCCUCCCAGGGUCAGUCGGGGGCUAAGGCGAGGCCGGGAGGCGUAGCCGACGCGCAGCAGGCAGACAUUCCUGCACCGCGCACGCGGCGCUACGACCGACGGGGCGACGGAUGGGGGUGGCUCGGCGGGGUUCUGGACGUCCCCGUGAUGGAGCGCGGCCCGCGGACCAGGGAAAUCCGGUCCGCAGAAGGGCGAGGCUCCGGACGAAGCACUUAAGCGAAGCGAGUGAGCCCGAGGUCCCUAGAAAAACCCCUAGGCAGGCGCGUGCGCGCCCGUACCGCAAACCGACACAGGUGGGUGGGUAGAACAUACCGAGGCGAUCGGGUCAACCAUGGUCAAGGAACUCGGCACAAUGGCCCCGUAACUUCGGGAGAAGGGGUGCCCGCGCGUACGUGAACCGGCUCGCCCGGGGAGCGGAGGCGGGCCGCAGUGGAGAGGCCCAAGCGACUGUUUACCAAAAACACAGGACUCUGCAGAAGCCGCAAGGCGACGUAUAGGGUCUGACGCCUGCCCGGUGCCGGAAGGUCACGCGGAGGAGUUAGCGCAUCGCGCGAAGCCCCGAAGCCAAGCCCCGGUAAACGGCGGCCGUAACUAUAACGGUCCUAAGGUAGCGAAAUUCCUUGUCGGGUAAGUUCCGACC
rnacentral:rRNA from 1 species